rnacentral:rRNA from 1 species
ACGGGGGCAGCAGUGGGGAAUAUUGGACAAUGGGGGAAACCCUGAUCCAGCGACGCCGCGUGAGUGAAGAAGUAUUUCGGUAUGUAAAGCUCUAUCAGCAGGGAAGAUAAUGACGGUACCUGACUAAGAAGCCCCGGCUAACUACGUGCCAGCAGCCGCGGUAAUACGUAGGGGGCAAGCGUUAUCCGGAUUUACUGGGUGUAAAGGGAGCGUAGACGGCAAAGCAAGUCUGAUGUGAAAGGCAGGGGCUCAACUCCUGGACUGCAUUGGAAACUGUUUAGCUAGAGUGCAGGAGAGGUAAGUGGAAUUCCUAGUGUAGCGGUGAAAUGCGUAGAUAUUAGGAGGAACACCAGUGGCGAAGGCGGCUUACUGGACUGUAACUGACGUUGAGGCUCGAAAGCGUGGGGAGCAAACAGGAUUAGAUACCCUGGUA